rnacentral:rRNA from 1 species
UACGUAGGGUGCAAGCGUUGUCCGGAAUUAUUGGGCGUAAAGAGCGUGUAGGCGGCCCGAUUAGUCCGCUGUGAAAGUCCAGGGCUCAACCCUGGAAUGCCGGUGGAUACUGUCGGGCUAGAGUCCGGAAGGGGCGAGUGGAAUUCCUGGUGUAGCGGUGAAAUGCGUAGAUAUCGGAAGGAACACCAGUGGCGAAAGCGGCUUCCUGGUCCAGCACCGACGUCAGGCACGAAAGCGUGGGGAGCAAACAGG